rnacentral:rRNA from 1 species
CCCUAGAGGAGCCUGUUCCGUAAUCGAUAAACCCCGAUCCACCCCACCCUCUCUUGCUCAGCCUAUAUACCGCCAUCUUCAGCAAACCCUAAUGAAGGCUACAAAGUGAGCGCAAACGCCACUGCCGCGAAUACGUUAGGUCAAGGUGUAGCCCAUGAGACGGUAAAAAAUGGGCUACAUUUUCUAUUUCAGAAAACCCCACGAAAACCCUUAUGAAACUUAAGGGUCUAAGGAGGAUUUAGCAGUAAAUUAAGAAUAGAGUGCUUAAUUGAACCAGGCCAUAAAGCGCGCACACACCGCCCGUCACUCCUCUCAAAUAUAUUUAAGGAAUAUCCUAACUAAACGCCCUAAUAUUUAUAUAGAGAGGAUAAGUCGUAACAUGGUAAGCGUACUGGAAGGUGCGCUUGGAU